rnacentral:lncRNA from 1 species
CUCUCACUCGCAUGACCUAAUUAUCUCCCAAAGACCCCAACUCCAAAUAACAUCACAUUAGGGGUUAGGGCUUUAACAUAUGAAUUCUGGGGUGACACAAUUCAGUCCAUAGCAAUCUCCAAGAAAGGUAUAUCAUUUGGUUAUUUCUAUGUUAAAAACCCCCACAAAGCUUAGUGGCUUGAAACAGCAACCAUUUAUUAUUCCUCAUGAAUCUGUGGAUUGACUGGGCAGUUCCACUGAUCUUGGUUGUACUUGACUAGGCAGUUCUCCUGGUCUUGGCAGAUACUUACUCAUAUGUCUUGUAGUCCGCUGGCUGUUGACUGAUCUGGGAUGUCCUUGACUGUGACAACUGACUCUGCUCCAUGUGUCUCAUUCUCCAGAAGGAUAGUCUGGAUACGUCCUCAGGCAAUUGUAAGAGUCCAAGAGAAGAAGGGGAAAUAUGCAAAUACUUUUCAAGUUUUUGCUUGCAUCAUUUGCUAUUGACCCAUUGGCUAAAGUAAGCUGCAUGCUUGAGCCCAGGGUCAGUGUUGAGAGUUUACCAAAAGACAUGGAUACAAGAAGGUGCAAAAAAUCUGUACCAUGGGUGCAAUCAAUCUUCCACGAGGGGUUAAAAUAUUAAAUGUUUUCCAAAGAAAUGCUUGAUUUAAAGAAUGCUUAUUUUGAGGCACACAUUAUAGUACAAAUAUUGUGCAAAGCACAUUCAGGAAGAGGCUGUUCUAAGGUAAUGACACUUGUGGGGAGAAGGAGAGCAUUUCUUUCCCUCUGCUCACAUCUCAUCUUCAGCUCACUGAAGAGAAAGAGAUAAUACUUCUGCUUUUUCUUUCUGUAAUCUUUCUUUUCUUGUCUAGUUCCUCUGUAAUGCAGAAGGAGUUAUAAUUUACUUGGUUCAAGACAAAUUUACUGGCCACAGUUCACUACUGGGUGGAGACAUAGCGUUGAAAGCCUGGGGCUUUUCCAGCUGAGCUCUUUUCUGAUUCUGUGGUAGACCAUGGAAUGACUUGUCUCAUCAGGGCUUGGCAAGGACAAUUCUCUUGUCUAUCUUUUCACUUCCUGUGCCAGGUUUGCAUUGGAGCCCAAGUCCAGAGAAGGCUGAAGUCUGAAUUCCUGUGCAGACCGUGGACCAUAUCAUCACAGGGUGGGCCUCCUGUGUUGCCUGACCUGGCUGGCUCUCCAAGGUGAUUUGCCCUUUGGCCUAUAUUUGCUUUCAGUCAAUAAUGUCUUUGAUUUCAAAAGUAUUAUUCACUAAAUUUGAAUACUUGUGUUCUCAAUUUUUUUCCCUAAGAAUAACUUCCCUCCACUUAUCUGAAGUCACGUGGAUGUUGAUCAAGGACGAUGGCUGUGCCUGUAACAUGAGAGGAGUGGGCUGCUGAUCCGAAAGGGGGAGAAGCUCAAGUUCGUUUUCUCAAAAGAACUGCCAGAAGAAAUCCCAUUUUCAUUAAUCAAGGGACAACUACAUGGCAGGUACUGUUCUGGGAGCUGGGGACUUGGCAGUGAUCAUGACAGCCCUUGUACCUUAGUCUUCUCCGCAGUGGCGGAGAGGGAGGUUGGGAGACACCAGCGUGUAUGUGGAAGUCCAUGAAUUCAUGUGGCAUUCUAUUUUCACUAUUGCAGAGAGCAGUCUAUUAAACUCAAAUUUGGCCAGAAACUUGCGAUUCUUUGGUAGGUUCAUCCUGACAUAACUAUGAUAAAUUAGGGACCCCUUUGAACUU